GAUUGAACGCUGGCGGCAUGCCUUACACAUGCAAGUCGAACGGCAGCACGGGAGCAAUCCUGGUGGCGAGUGGCGAACGGGUGAGUAAUAUAUCGGAACGUGCCCAGUCGUGGGGGAUAACGUAGCGAAAGCUACGCUAAUACCGCAUACGAUCUAUGGAUGAAAGCGGGGAUCGCAAGAACCUCGCGCGAUUGGAGCGGCUGAUAUCAGAUUAGGUUGUUGGUGAGGUAAAAGCUCACCAAGCCGACGAUCUGUAGCUGGUUUGAGAGAACGACCAGCCACACUGGGACUGAGACACGGCCCAGACUCCUACGGGAGGCAGCAGUGGGGAAUAUUGGACAAUGGGCGAAAGCCUGAUCCAGCAAUGCCGCGUGCAGGAUGAAGGCCUUCGGGUUGUAAACUGCUUUUGUACGGAACGAAACGGUGAGCUCUAAUACAGUUUGCUAAUGACGGUACCGUAAGAAUAAGCACCGGCUAACUACGUG
rnacentral:rRNA from 1 species